AGCAGUAGCCGCGGUAAUACGAAGGGUGCAAGCGUUAAUCGGAAUUACUGGGCGUAAAGCGUGCGUAGGCGGUGAGUUAAGUCUGUUGUGAAAUCCCCGGGCUCAACCUGGGAAUGGCAGUGGAUACUGGCUCGCUAGAGUGUGUCAGAGGAUGGUGGAAUUCCCGGUGUAGCGGUGAAAUGCGUAGAGAUCGGGAGGAACAUCAGUGGCGAAGGCGGCCAUCUGGGACAACACUGACGCUGAGGCACGAAAGCGUGGGGAGCAAACAGGAUUAGAUACCCCGGUAGUCCCUGUCUCUUAUAC
rnacentral:rRNA from 1 species